AGAAUCAACGCUGGCGGCGUGCCUCAGACAUGCAAGUCGAACGCGAAAGUCCCCUUCGGGGGACAAGUAGAGUGGCGCACGGGUGAGUAACACGUAGGUAAUCUACCUUCGGAUGGGGGAAUAACAACCGGAAACGGUUGCUAAUACCGCAUAAUGCAGCGGCACCUAAUGGUGACAGUUGUUAAAGCGGGGGAUCGAAAGACCUCGCGUCUGGAAGAGGAGCCUGCGGCGGAUUAGCUAGGUUGGUAGGGUAACGGCCUACCAAGGCGACGAUCCGUA
rnacentral:rRNA from 1 species